CCUACACAUGCAAGUCGAGCGAGACCUUCGGGUCUAGCGGCGGACGGGUUAGUAACGCGUGGGAACGUGCCCUUCACUACGGAAUAGUCCCGGGAAACUGGGUUUAAUACCGUAUACGCCCUUCGGGGGAAAGAAUUUCGGUGAAGGAUCGGCCCGCGUUAGAUUAGAUAGUUGGUGGGGUAACGGCCUACCAAGUCGACGAUCUAUAGCUGGUUUGAGAGGAUGAUCAGCAACACUGGGACUGAGACACGGCCCAGACUCUUACGGGAGGCAGCAGUGGGGAAUCUUGGACAAUGGGCGCAAGCCUGAUCCAGCCAUGCCGCGUGAGUGAUGAAGGCCUUAGGGUCGUAAAGCUCUUUCGCCAGGGAUGAUAAUGACAGUACCUGGUAAAGAAACCCCGGCUAACUCCGUGCCAGCAGCCGCGGUAAUACGGAGGGGGUUAGCGUUGUUCGGAAUUACUGGGCGUAAAGCGCACGUAGGCGGAUUAGUCAGUCAGAGGUGAAAUCCCAGGGCUCAACCCUGGAACUGCCUUUGAUACUGCUAGUCUUGAGUUCGAGAGAGGUGAGUGGAAUUCCGAGUGUAGAGGUGAAAUUCGUAGAUAUUCGGAGGAACA
rnacentral:rRNA from 1 species